UACAGAGGGUGCAAGCGUUAAUCAGAAUGACUGGGCGUAAAGGGCGUGUAGGUGGUUAAUUAGGUUUGAUGUGAAAUCCCCGGGCUUAACCUGGGAAUUGCGUCGAAAACGGAUUGACUCGAGUGAGAUAGAGGGUUGUGGAAUUUCCGGUGUAGCGGUGAAAUGCGUAGAUAUCAAGUGGAACACCAGUGGCGAAGGCGAGUCUCUGGACAUUUCCUGACGCUGAGGCACGAAAGCCAGGGGAGCAAACGGG
rnacentral:rRNA from 1 species